rnacentral:rRNA from 1 species
UAAAACUAGCCUGUCCACCCAACAAACCAAACUACCCUAAAUACUAAAAUAAAACAUUCAACUAUUAACCUUAAAAGUAUAGGAGAUAGAAAGUUUACUCAGCGCCAUAGAGACAGUACCGCAAGGGAAAGAUGAAAGAUAACUUAAUAGUACAAAACUGCAAAGAUUAACCCUUGUACCUUUUGCAUAAUGAAUUAACUAGAACAAGCCUGACAAAGAGAACUGUAGCCAGGAACCCCGAAACCGGACGAGCUACCUACGAGCAGUUUUCAGAACCAACCCGUCUAUGUAGCAAAAUAGUGGGAAGACUUGUAGGUAGGGGUGAAAAGCCAACCGAGCCCGGUGAUAGCUGGUUAUCCAGAAUAGAAUUUUAGUUCGACCUAAAACUUACCAAACAAACACACAAUUCACCUGUAAGUUUUAGAUAUACUCAAAAGAGGUACAGCUCUUUUGAUGCAGGAUACAACCUUAAUUAGAGAGUAAUCCAACUACUAAUUCCAGUUGGCCUAAAAGCAGCCACCAAUUAAGAAAGCGUUAAAGCUCAAAAAUAAACAACAAAUUACAAAAAUACCAAAAACAACAACUAACUCCUAAAAUAAGUACUGGAUCAAUCUAUUAGUACAUAGAAGAAAUAAUGUUAAUAUAAGUAACAAGAAAAUUUUUCUCCCACGCAUGAACUUAUAUCAGAAAAUGCCAACUGACAGUUAACACAUAAUAUACUACCACCACCAAAACAACACUUAUUAGACAAACUGUUAACCCAACCCAGGCAUGCUUCUAUAAGGGAAAGAUUAAAAGAGAUAAAAGGAACUCAGCAAA